GCAGGUGUGUUAACUGAAUAGGGCCAAUGAGAGCACAACUACAAAUACCUCCAGCAUGCCCCAUCCCAUCCUUUAAGACAAUCAGCAAUAAAUCUUUCCUUGACUUGGUUCACAAUCUGGUGGGGCAGCUAUCACAACCACAAUUGAUAGAUUCGUAUUGCUUAACUUUUUUUGAUAAUGUUCCAAUUUAAAAAAAAUUACUCAGUUACUAAUCUAAUUUUUAAAGCAGAUUUUAAAAUAUUAACCAUUAAAAAAACAGGAAAUCCUAAUUUCAGCAUAAUGGUCAGCUUUACAGGUCAGAAUAUGUCAGGACUGAGUGUCGGCUGCAUCUCUGCCUUAAAAGCUGCCUCUGAUAAAGGGGUUAGUUUGGAAAGCAAGGAUAUAUGGGACAAAAAUAAUUUUACAUCUUAUCUAGGAUUUUUAAGAGAGGGGAUGAGAUGAUUCUUCAUGUUCACGUUCUCUGGAGUUUAGUGAUUUGGAAGCAGAAUGAAGCUACAAAGAAUCUCCUUUGUUCACACAAUCCAAUCAUUUAUUUUUCCCCUAUAGCUGCAUUAGUAAGCUCCAAAUGAGAAAGUGCAAUCUUGGCAAACUCAACAGCAGCUGUUCAUGACUUGGUGAAUAUGUUGAACUGCAGUCCUGUAAUUUCCUGUGAUCCGAUUGGGAAUUAUUGCAAUUGUGGCUCAACAUCAGAAAUUACCUAUUAACUACCUGAAAUGGGCAGAUGCCUUCAAAAUGACAAGACUGGAAACACCAGGAGCUGGCAAUGGAGUCGGACAGCGAUGAGGCUGAGGAAGAGCGUGGGCCAGUCCUGGAGGCUGGGGAAGGCCCGGAUGAGGGCUCUGUGUUGGAGGCUGAGGUGAGGCCAGGGCCAUUGGGGAGUGAGGUGCGGACUCCAGAGCCUCCAGAGACUGACAGUAGUGAGGCAGAGGAACAAGAGGAGCCUGUUCCUAAUGCACGCAUGAGAAGAGCUACCAGAAGGCAAGAGCAGCUCAAGCAAAGAGGACGACUCAGGAGUAGGGCCAAGAGAUGAUUGGCCCCUCCCAUAAGGCUUAAAAAAGACCAGCAAUGGCAUUUGGGCUUUGCCAGAAAACAACAUUGAUAACUUCGUCUUCUUGCAUUUAUUUUGUAUUGGUGUUUUCUGAACGUUUGCCAAGAAAGGCCUUUGGCAGUUUGCCUAAUUGGACCAUGGUUUGUGAUAGGACUGAGGAAUUUUUAUUGGGAGGAAUUUGCUUUAAUUUAGUUGAACUAUGCUGAAAAUGAAGUAAUUCUCAGCUGUUUGAAUUAAGUUUGUUUGUUUUUUCACUGACUGAGUUUCCUACUACCUACUGGGCCUGCUACUACCUAACAUUUCUGAUAUUACAGAUAUAAAAAGAGAAAUAACAAGAUAUGCAACUUUAUAAUGGCAUUCAGAGACAUUUUGGAGGAAUUGCACUCUCAAACAAAAUUCAAGAAUGUGAACAAGAAUCAGCAUCAAGUCAGCAGACAUACAAAAACGAAUUGGAUGAGGAUCUAAAAAUUAAAAAGGAAAUAAGAAUGCCAUUUCCAGAGGAUAAUUGGAAUAAUUUCUUCUUGCUGGACUUACAAAAGAGGCUUCUUAAAGUUUUGAAGAAAUUGGAGACCAGAAUCAAUAAUCAUCUAAAUAGAUUAAAAACCAUUUUUAUAAAAAAAAUUUAAAAAGAAGGAAUACAAAGUUAGUUUAUUGGAUCAGUGUUAAAAUGGUAUUUGUUAUUUUGUAUGAUUCAUUUUGUACUUGCUGAUAUCUGCACUGGAAAAAUGUGGUAUUCGCUUACUGUUACCUCAUAUGGUGUUUAAA